rnacentral:rRNA from 1 species
UUAUCCGGAAUUAUUGGGCGUAAAGAGCUCGUAGGCGGUUUGUCGCGUCUGCCGUGAAAGUCCGGGGCUCAACUCCGGAUCUGCGGUGGGUACGGGCAGACUAGAGUGAUGUAGGGGAGACUGGAAUUCCUGGUGUAGCGGUGAAAUGCGCAGAUAUCAGGAGGAACACCGAUGGCGAAGGCAGGUCUCUGGGCAUUAACUGACGCUGAGGAGCGAAAGCAUGGGGAGCGAACAGG